GGGAUGUAGCUCAGUUGGUUAGAGCGCCGGCCUGUCACGCCGGAGGCCGCGGGUUCGAGUCCCGUCAUUCCC
rnacentral:tRNA from 1 species